rnacentral:rRNA from 1 species
UACGUAGGGUGCAAGCGUUGUCCGGAAUUAUUGGGCGUAAAGAGCUCGUAGGCGGUUCGUCACGUCGGCUGUGAAAACCUGAGGCUCAACCUCAGGCCUGCAGUCGAUACGGGCGGACUUGAGUACUGCAGGGGAGACUGGAAUUCCUGGUGUAGCGGUGAAAUGCGCAGAUAUCAGGAGGAACACCGGUGGCGAAGGCGGGUCUCUGGGCCGAUACUGACGCUGAGGAGCGAAAGCGUGGGGAGCAAACAGG